UGGGGAAUAUUGCACAAUGGGCGCAAGCCUGAUGCAGCGACGCCGCGUGGGGGAGGACGGCCUUCGGGUUGUAAACUCCUUUCGACAGGGACGAAGCUUUUGUGUCGGUACCUGUAUAAGAAGCACCGGCUAACUACGUUCCAGCAGCCGCGGUAAUACGUAGGGUGCGAGCGUUGUCCGGAAUUACUGGGCGUAAAGAGCUCGUAGGUGGUUUGUCGCGUCGUCUGUGAAAUUCCGGGGCUUAACUCCGGGCGUGCAGGCGAUACGGGCUGACUUGAGUGCUGUAGGGGAGACUGGAAUUCCUGGUGUAGCGGUGAAAUGCGCAGAUAUCAGGAGGAACACCGAUGGCGAAGGCAGGUCUCUGAGCAGUAACUGACGCUGAGGAGCGAAAGCAUGGGUAGCGAACAGG
rnacentral:rRNA from 1 species